UAUUACUGGCUAUAUGCUGGGUCUUUAGGAAUUUAAGACUGCUAUAGAAAAAUGAUAUUGAUUGGUACCUGCCCGUCACCAAACUGGAGUGGGGGAAUUUGGUAUUUAGAGAUCUUUUAUCUUCUUCUUGCUGUUACACAGUACUAUUGAGUUGGUCAUCAGUGAACUGUCUUGUGCUUUGGAGCUUCCCUUUUAUUAUGCUACCCUGCUAGGGUACAUAAUGUGAUGGUUUACCAUUCGGCAAAAUCUUUUGUUUUCACACAAAAAAAGCAAUCACCAGAUAUUUUUAAACUCAUAGUAUGAAUGCCAUGGUUUUAAUGUAUGGUGCCAUUUUGUAGGCAUAAAAGACGAAGUCAAACAAGGUGUGUUACUGUUCUUGAUAACUUUAUUCACUUUUAUAAAACCUCAGAAUAGUUAUUUGAAAAUAUGUAACUCUCUUGGACUGGAAUCUAGCCCCCAGACCUAUGAUGAAGCAAAGAUGAUUUCGCAGCAUAUUGAAGAAAUAAUGAAGCAAAAGGAAGAGAAGCCCACAUAGGGUCAUCUUCACUGUGUUUUAGGAGGUCAAAAUUCUCUGGUUAUUAACAGACAGAGUAUUUCAGAGUUUGAAGAGAUAUUAAGAAACCAGGAAUCUACAUCCUCCCUUUUACAGGAAAUAAUACAAAAGAUAAUUCUUUGUUAUCUCAGUGCCCUCUAAUGGCUUCCACUUCAACAUUCAGCCUUGUAGGUGGUAGAGCGGGAGGGCCUAUGUGAGGUGAAUAGGCACCAGAAGGACUGAGAGUGGAGAGAAUAUGGUGGAAGGAGAACACAGACUUCUUGGCAAGAGCCGACGUAUUGAGAGAAUGCCACAAGAAGGAAGUGGUGGUGUGCCUGGGCGAAAAAUGCACAGCGUAAGGGUGAAAUUCAUAAGAGAUUUUCUGAGGCUUAUGGAAUUGCUGAGAGCUGGCAAGCUGGUGAGGAGGUAAGAAGCAAUCUUGAUAACUAUUGCUGUGUUACAUGUUUGGACCUUAUUUUGAAUGUUCUUUGAAGGCACCAUGGGGAAUUACAGUUAUUUCUGAAUUCCUAUUGGAGGCUAAAACUGCCUUCUUAAACUGUGCAACACAUCAGCUACUGUAUCAAGUGGAUCUCUAAAAUUGAUAGUUUAUAGUCAUAUAAAGAAACAGAUAUCAGGAAAGAGAAGAUAUUUAUCUAAUGAGUUGAUCUCUUCGGUCACAACAGUCAAUUUGGAUAGUGUUAUUCACCGGUGCAUUCUUCGUUCCUUUCUAAAUAUCCACAACUUUAUCUCCUCUGAGGCUCACGCUCAGCAGCAGAGAUUGAUUUACUGAACUAUAUAAAAGUAGCUGCCCUCCUGCCAUAGAAACUCCAAACCUUCUCUUUUCUUCUAAACUUUCUUUCUUAAUAAAAUAAUGUAAGGCAACCUUUCUAAUAUGAAGACAACUUUACUAAAUCAGUUGUAGAGAGAGAAGAAAAGCUUGGUUGGUACUAAUGAUAACACUGCACAGUUACACAUUUUAAAGAAAUCUAGAAAUUUCUCUAUUUAUGACCAUGUAACCUGUGUGGAAAUGAAUAAAUGACAUUUGUAUAGUGCUUACUACAUGCCAGGCAUUAUUUUAACUACAUCAUACAGUUAACCAUUCAAUAUUUACAACAUGUUCAGGAGAAAGGUUCUAUUGGGAUCAUUCUUAUUUUAAAUAGAAGAAACUAAGGCAUUGAGCAUUUAAGUGACUUGUUCAAGUUCACAUCUUUGGCAAAUGGCAGAGAUGAGAUAAUGAGCCAGAGACCACGCGCUCAACCACUACCUAUACUGCCUGUAUUGACUUAAAAUUACAAAACCUUUAAUUAAAAUGCCUGUUAGUUAUUCUUCAUAUUUACAUUAUCUUGGCAAGGAAUAUAAUGAUCGUAUGUAAAUAAGCGCAGCAUAACUUACUGAAAAGAGAAAAUUGCUUUGGGUAGGUUGAAAAAUACAGUAGACUGUGCAUAUUAUGUUACACUAUUACUUCACCGAAGAAGGAUUUUACUAUGGCUACUCCCAUGCAUAACUAGCCAAGGUCACGUCUCGAAGGCAAUGCUCAUUCCACAAAUGUGGUCCAAAUUACAAAGAUUUAACUGCAUAAAUCAUAUUGUGUUUUAUUUUCAAUGUACUUCAGAAAUUUGGAAUUGUACUUUGGUACUGCAGACAUUGCCUACUCCUGUAUCCUUAAUGACUUGGCUGUUAGGAUGGGAUGGAGAUAUAUGUAUACACACACACACACACACACACACACACACACACACACACAUAUAAUUUUCUAUUUCUCUAACAUUUAUAUUCGUUGAGGAGAACUGGCCUUUUCCUGUCUAAAGGUUCACUAUAAAACGGACACAUCUUUCCUUUGCCUUAAGAAUGGCAUAUCCCAGCAGCCAGGGAAAUCAUUUUAAUUCUCUGUAUCUGAGGCAGAAAUUAGAUUUCAUGUGUAAAAUAAGGUGAGACUGUUUCUAAACUGGGACCUUUCCACCUUUUGCCUGGUAUGGAGUCUCAUCUAUGAGUGAUGUUGCCAAUGUAUAUGCCGGGGAUAUGGAGAACCAUUAUGUUCUAGACUUGUUCCAUUUACCCAUCUCCUUCUCUCACUACUUCCACUGCAAACAUUAAUGUGACAGCCAAUCACAAACCUUAACUGUUUCUGCUGCAGCCCAUUCAGAGACUUUCUGGUUUAUCUGCUUGUUAAAAAGCAGAAAGGGACCUAGAAAUAUAUGUGAGGUAGAGGCCAUAUUGAGUUCCAGUACUGGUGUUGGCAGAAAUCAUGUCGCAGACCUUGUAGGCUAAAACCCACAAUUGCUGUAUGAGGUUCUGUGACGUUGUCACCAGUAGAAAUCCAAUAUUCUCAUAUCACAGUUAUUUGCAUUUUUCACAAUAUAUCACAAAUCACUAUUUUGUAAUCAAAGUAGUCCUUACAUUUACUAAUAGAUUUUAUUGUUUCAUAUGUUGAAAAAAUAAAUAUAGGUUCUAUCACAAUUUGUUUAUAUUUUGCUAAUAAUAUUUAAGAUAAUUGCUUUACUUAAUAAUUGUCUUUCAUUCAUGCCAAUAAAGUCAUAUUCUGGAUAACAAACAAAAAGGCCAGGAAUCCCUGCUAAAAAGCGAUACCCUGUGGAAAAAGGGAGUAGAAAAACAAAUGAAUCCAGAGCCUCUUCUGCUUGCAUUUUUGAAAUUAAUGCUGAACUCUUGGGUGCCUGAAGAGAGGGGACAGGGAGUUUUUCAUGUUCCUUUGUGUGAUGGUCAGCUGUGGUCAUAUGAGGAGGCGGUGGAGAGGCUCCAGAAACAAACGUUAUUGUGCUCACAGGCCCUGUAGGCAGCAGACAUGAGAUACCAAAUGGGACCAUGUGGAAAAAACACCACGGUCAUCAGAAGACAGAAAAGCAAGGGGAAAGUUUAGGCCAAGCCUUUAUUUGAGUUUCCCCUGGCAAGGUAAGUCAGGGUGGCCAGUUUCGGACUAGCUAGUUUGAAUAAUGUUAGUAGGCUCUAAGCAACAAGGUGGUCCUUAGUCACCUGGUAUCUGGCCCUGGGAUGAUUCAAGCAAAAGAAUAUUGCCUGUUGGAGUGUAAGAGCCAGAUAGGGGAGGGCUGGCUCUAGAUUGGUUCAUUUGCAAAUGAAAGGUGUGCUCCUGGCUAGGCUCUUCUACCUCUAAGAAUUGAGUAGCGGCAGGAGGGGCAGUCUCUCCUUAGAAAGGAUUUUUAAGACGUGAAAACAUCAUAGUAUGCAGAAAAUAGUACACCCGCGCCCCCACACCCCAACACACACACACACACACACACACACACACACACACACAUAUACACACUACAAAGAGCAUCUGAAGGAAGUCAGGGUAGCUGUCCAGAUGCUGACAUAUCAUUGCUUAUACAUGUAUUUUUAGCUCAUCUCUUUCGUCAUUGCAUUUUAUGCUUUUCCAUUCAAUCUAAGGAAUCUCCACCUCCUUAAAGACAUCAUGUUGAAGUUGUCCCUUUCAUUUUCGUCCGUUGCUGGGUGAUGUAUGCUCCUGUAGUUCAGAGGGGAAAUAAGCCAAGCACCAAGGGUGGGCAUUGGUCUCUUGCUGGCUGAGCAGGAUUUGAAAGAGGAGGUCCUAGUCUUUUAGACAGAAUCUCCAAUGGACCGGAAUACUGUUACUACAAGAGUGUUUUUUGAUGCUUGCUCCCUGUUGCUCAUGCCUGAAAAACACUUUCUAGAAAUCUGAUGUGUCAGAAGGCAACUCCGCCAUGCUGACUUCACAGCACCAGGAUCACAAGGAGCUCUAAGACACUUCGGGGGGUUUAGUAUGUCAUUGCCUGCAUGUGGUGAGAAGAUAUCAAUAUUUAUUCAGGUACUGUUCCAGACUCUGGAGAUGCAGAGUCCCAGCUCUCUGAGAGCAAACAAGCAGUUGCAGUAUCAUGUGAUGACUGCCAUAAUCCAGGCUGGACACCUAGAGUGGGGUUAUGGAAUCUAAUGGUUUACAUUUUCUCAGCGCCACCUGUAUAAAUUACCAGACUGCUUUCCAAUCCAGGAGAGGUCCAAUAUGGAAAAAGCCAUGUUCCUGCUGAUUUUCACUACAGGAAAAGGCGGCCUGCUGAUUCCCGCCCUUCUCCUAGAAGAACAGUAUUCAAGUACGAACAAUACGUCUUCCCAUCCCUCUGAGUGUAACAUGGCCUUCCGCCGGUGACCUUUCCAAUACACCAGCACAAAGGUACACCUGUGACCCUGCUGCUCGGCUGAGCAUCACAUCUGCAUGGAGGACAGUUGCCAGGAUGUAGCAAUGUGGCUGUUAUCCAGGAACUCUGUGACAACAUCGCAUCACGUGCUGGCCCCAUUCAAUUUAUGAGCAAAACCAAAGCCCUGAAGACUUUAAUGACAGGAAGGAGGACUGUAGCUACUCCUAUUACUAGUGAUCAGAGCAAAAUGAACCUUGCAGAGCCAGAAGCUAUAAAGCCAAUUGGCUAAACUCCACAGAAAACUGAUUCUAAGAAUGUUAAUUGAGCAUAAAUUAA
rnacentral:lncRNA from 10 species